rnacentral:lncRNA from 1 species
GCACCGAACCACUAUAAAUCCUUGUGUUUGUGGUGUGCUUUAUUGUUUCUCUUUAUUUCUUUAUUAUAUCCUUACAUUCUUGCUUUAGGAAAUUAAUCUUGAUUUAAAGUCUUUCUUCUCAUUCAUCAAGCUUUUAACAAAUACCUUUCAUAAGUAAUUAGUUGAGCUUAAAAUUUUUAGAAACCCAAUUCACCCCCCC